rnacentral:rRNA from 1 species
AACGAACGCUGGCGGCAUGCCUAACACAUGCAAGUCGAACGAAACCUUCGGGUCUAUUGGCGCCUGGGUGUGUAACGCGUGGGAACCUGCACUUAUGUUCGGCAUACCUCUCAGACAGGGGUGCCAUUACCGGACAGUAUCUUCUGCCCAAAGAUUUAUUGCCCUUGGUUGGUCCCUCGUUGGAUUCGAUUGUUGGUAGGGUUAAAGCCUACCACGGCGCCCAUUCAUAGCUUGUCUGAGAGAAAGAUUAGCGACACUUGGACUGAGACACGGCCGAGACUCCUACGGGAGGGAGCAGAGGGGAAUAGUGGAAAAUGGGCGAAAGCAUGAUGGAGCUAUGACGGGUGAAUGAUGAAGGCAUUAGGGUUGUAAUGCUCUAUUAACCGGGAUGAUCAUGACAGUACCGGAAGAAUAAGCCCCGGCUAACUCCGUG